CUAAGUUCAGCGGGUAGUCCUACCUGAUCCGAGGUCAACAUAUGGCGGUUCCUCCCUUGCGGGGGUCCCUAUGUCGGGGGUUUUACGGCAAGCCUAGCUGCUUCUCCCAGGGCAUCUAACGGUGAAGUUACUGUACCCGGGGCCCACAGCCGGACCGCGCACUACUGCUUGGGGGGCCUAGAGUUACCUAGCGCCCCAAC
rnacentral:misc_RNA from 1 species